UGGUCAAGGCAACUAGGACCCACAGGAG
rnacentral:piRNA from 1 species